rnacentral:rRNA from 1 species
AUUGAACGCUGGCGGCAGGCCUAACACAUGCAAGUCGAACGAGGGGCGGACGGGUGAGUAAUGUCUGGGAAACUGCCUGAUGGAGGGGGAUAACUACGGGAAACGGUAGCUAAUACCGCAUACCAUCGGAUGUGCCCAGAUGGGAUUAGCUAGUAGGUGGGGUAAAGGCUCACCUAGGCGACGAUCCCUAGCUGGUCUGAGAGGAUGACCAGCCACACUGGAACUGAGACACGGUCCAGACUCCUACGGGAGGCAGCAGUGGGGAAUAUUGCGCAAUGGGCGCAAGCCUGACGCAGCCAUGCCGCGUGUAUGAAGAAGGCCUUCGGUUUGUAAAGUACUUUCAGCGGGGAGGCGUUACCCGCAGAGAAAGCCCCGGCUAACUCCGUGCCAGCAGCCGCGGUAAUUC